AUACGGAGGAUCCAAGCGUUAUCCGGAAUCAUUGGGUUUAAAGGGUCCGUAGGCGGCCUUGUAAGUCAGUGGUGAAAUCUCCCCGCUCAACGGGGAAACGGCCAUUGAUACUGCAGGGCUUGAAUUAUUGGGAAGUAACUAGAAUAUGUAGUGUAGCGGUGAAAUGCUUAGAUAUUACAUGGAAUACCAAUUGCGAAGGCAGGUUACUAUCAAUACAUUGACGCUGAUGGACGAAAGCGUGGGUAGCGAACAGGAUUAGAUACCCUGGUAGUCCACGCCGUAAACGAUGGAUACUAGCUGUUCGGGGCAACCUGAGUGGCUAAGCGAAAGUGAUAAGUAUCCCACCUGGGGAGUACGUUCGCAAGAAUGAA
rnacentral:rRNA from 1 species